GCAGUCGAGCGGCACUUUAGGGGAGCUUGCUCCUUGGGUGGCGAGUGGCGGAGGGUGAGGAAUACGUCGGAAUCUACUUUUACGUGGGGGAUAACGUAAGGAAACUUACGCUAAUACCGCACACUACCUACCGGUGAAAGCAGGGGACCUUCGGGCCUUGCGCGAUUGAAUGAGCCGAUAUCGGAUUAGCUAUUUGGCGGGGUAAAGGCCCACCAUCGCCACGAUCACUAUCUGGUCUGAAAGGAUGAUGGUCCUCACUGGAACUGAGACACAGACCAGACCCCUACUCGAGGCGGAAGUGGGGAAUAUUGAACUAUGGGCGCAAACCAGAUCCUGACAUACCGCGUGGGUGAAAAAGGCCAUCGGGUUGUAAACCCCUUUUGUUGUUGAUAAAAUCCAGCUGGCACCGACCCGGUUGGGAUGACCGUUCCCAGUGAAUAACCACAGGGCCACUUCUUGCCACCUGCCACGAUAAUACGAAAGGUGCAGGCGUUACUCGUAAUUACUGAUUAUAGGGCGUGCAUAGGUGGUCGUUUGAGUCUGUUGUGAGAUCCCUGAGCUCACACUGCAAACUGCAAUGGAUACUGGACGACUAGAGAGUGGUAUGGGGUAGAGGAAUUCCUGGUUCUACAUGUGAAAUGCGUAUGCAUCAGAGAUGAACAUCGAAUGGCGAAUGGCAGAUACCUGGACUCAACGCUGACACUGACGCACGAAGAGCGUGAGGAGCAAACAGCGAUUAGAUAGCCUAGACCCUCCGCGCUCCUACACGAUGCCAACUGAGAUGCUGGGUGCUAAUUUGGUACGCACUAU
rnacentral:rRNA from 1 species